AUUCUGCAGAGGAGAGAGCAUGUGUUAAUUCCAUGAAGAGCAAAAGACAGCUUGAAGGAUGGCAAGCUAAAAAUAACGCACAACUAAUAUUAGAAAUCAAUCCCUAGCAAUAAGUUUGAGGGCUGCAGCACAGAGAAUGUGUGGCUUGCCAGAAGUUGAAAGCAUCAGCAACAAGUCAGUCUUCUGUCUGAAGCUUCUACUUAUUCCUUCAUGCCAUAUAACAUGCAGCUUUUGUAGCUUUAGACUGAAUUGAAGACGACUGCAAAUUAAGCUUUCUAUUUCAGAAUUCUAUUUUCUAGCUGUCACUCAUUCCCUUCCAGAUUCAAGUCCACCGACGUUUCUGUAUCUAUGCAGAAAUAGCAAUGCUUCUCUAUAUAACGUGGGAUACGGAUUCAACAGAGCAGAAUGAACAAGAUCCCAGCUAAUGAAGAGCAAGUUGACUUCCUAGACUUCAGCCCUUGGAUCAGUAAAUACUCCAACAAGCGUGCACUGUUCA